rnacentral:tRNA from 1 species
GGGCCCGUAGCUUAGCGGUAUAGCAUCGCCUUCGCAAGGCGGGGGUCUCGGGUUCGAAUCCCGACGGGUCCA